ACAAACACGACGAUCAAGAGUAGUAAAAGUUUUUUCUUUGUUACCAGAGAGCUGCGGGGUGGUGAAACGCAGUCAAAGAAAUCUUUGAACUCGCUUGUAAGUGGAAAAGCAGAACGGAAUGUUAUCCUUUUAAGUUUUGACGGUUUGCCUUCGUUAACAGGCCAUACAAGCUGGAUCUAAUCAUCAUUAGAUCAAAAAGAGUGGUACCGCGGUUGAAGGCCAAUCGUCUCUUUC
rnacentral:ncRNA from 1 species